AUACACUGUAGAGUGUCAUCAUGUCAAAGGGGAUGAACCUGGUGACAAACUGAACCGUUAACUAGACAGGAAUCUGGCUAAUGUAGCUGUCAAGUAGGCUAUUAGCUAGCCAACUAGCACAUGCUAAUUAGCCUUACAUGAAUCCUGACGGCAUUCAAUACUCCACACUAUUGGACAAUAAAUUAUACCAGUCGUGUGAUCUCUCCACUAUUGUAGAGGUAUUGCUACAGCUGCUGGCCGUAUCAUCAGAUGGCUCUCUGUGGCUGAAAUGGCAAACGCGCCAGGUUAACGAUAACGUUAGAUCCUAGCAUAUGGCUAGCGAUGACUAUGCUAGCUAGAUGCAUAGCAACGACAAGUUGGUCAAAUCCAUUGGUGAUUGCCAUUAUCUAUAAUUAACUUCACACAAGAUCAGCCAAGUAAUUUCCAGAUCCAAUGUCUACUUUAUCUAAAUAUGCAAUGUACUGUGUGUACAGUUUCUACAACUGAGACUCAUUACUUUGUGGAUGUGAUUUUGAUUGAUAGCUAAUGAGUUGAUAGCCUAAGAAAGUGAUUUUUAAAGAUGGUUCAGGUACUUUUCAUUGCCAAUGGAUUUGCUAAGAAUUAUGUUGGACAGAUCAAAAACGUUCUCCAAGGGCGACUGCAAGUGACCGAAGCCAGAGAUGUACAGGAAUGCGAUGUCAUUGUGUCCCUCUGCACAAUUGUCUCACGAGUUGGAACUGAUGUCGAGGCUGCACUUCGAGAGAUUCCUCCAACCACAAAGCCUGCCCUUCUUGUGGUGCUUCAUCAAACAUUCGACGUGGACUACACAGUACCAAACACCCAGAGGUUUGUGAAGCAGGGACGAAUGGUCACGACAGACCUGCUGUUCAACGAGGAUGAUGGGCUUCUCAUUUGCUCAAGAAAUGAAGGCUCAUUGAAAAAGGCUACAGAUUUCCUCAGCCUAAAUGAAAGCCACAGGCCUACGAAUAGCUCUUUAAUGGAUUGGUUAUGGUCCUCGGUGCUUAUGCUGUUUGGUUUAUUUAUUAGUAAGCCCAUUCAACGAUUUCAUGCAUGGCUGCGCAAAAAGCUUAGAUUUUGAAAGCUACAUCCGAAGACCUACUGUAUAAACCAUGCUGGUUACAUUAUACAUGCCACAGAGUGGAGAUACAACACAUUGGUCCUUAAGCUGAUUUGUUUAUUUAUCAUUGUGCUCAUUGUUCUGGGCUUUUGGAAUCUUUUGAAGUAGUUUAUUGUGAUUAGUCAACCAAAAUUUCCACAUAUACUCCAACCUUAAGCUUCCCACUGCCUCUUUCAUUUAACCAUAAUCAGUUUACCUUUAUUUGAA